rnacentral:rRNA from 1 species
UACGGAGGGUGCAAGCGUUAUCCGGAUUCACUGGGUUUAAAGGGUGCGUAGGCGGACAGGUAAGUCAGUGGUGAAAUCUCUGGGCUUAACCCAGAAACUGCCGUUGAUACUAUUUGUCUUGAAUAUCCUGGAGGUAGGCGGAAUAUGUCAUGUAGCGGUGAAAUGCUUAGAUAUGACAUAGAACACCGAUAGCGAAGGCAGCUUACUACAGGAUGAUCGACGCUGAGGCACGAAAGCGUGGGGAGCAAACAGG